UUUAACUAUCAAGUGAGUGGCGAACGGGUGAGUAACACGUGGGUCACCCGCCCAGAAGUGGGGGAGAACACCUGGAAACAGAUGCUAAUACCGCAUAACAAAAUUAACCGCAUGGUUGAUUUUUAAAAGAUGGCUUCGGCUAUCACUUCUGGAUGGACCCGCGGCGUAUUAGCUAGUUGGUGAGAUAAAGGCUCACCAAGGCAGUGAUACGUAGCCGACCUGAGAGGGUAAUCGGCCACAUUGGGACUGAGACACGGCCCAGACUCCUACGGGAGGCAGCAGUAGGGAAUCUUCCACAAUGGACGCAAGUCUGAUGGAGCAACGCCGCGUGAGUGAUGAAGGCUUUCGGGUCGUAAAACUCUGUUGUUGGAGAAGAACGUGUGUGAGAGUAACUGCUCAUGCAGUGACGGUAUCCAACCAGAAAGCCACGGCUAACUACGUGCCAGCAGCCGCGGUAAUACGUAGGUGGCAAGCGUUAUCCGGAUUUAUUGGGCGUAAAGCGAGCGCAGGCGGUCUUUUAAGUCUAAUGUGAAAGCCUUCGGCUUAACCGAAGAAGUGCAUUGGAAACUGGGAGACUUGAGUGCAGAAGAGGAGAGUGGAACUCCAUGUGUAGCGGUGAAAUGCGUAGAUAUAUGGAAGAACACCAGUGGCGAAAGCGGCUCUCUGGUCUGCAACUGACG
rnacentral:rRNA from 1 species